rnacentral:lncRNA from 1 species
AGACGCUCCCGCGGGUCCGCCCUAGGCGCUGGGCUCCAGGGAUCGGCUCCGACUGCUGCAGUUCGGGCCUUAUUUUAGGGUGAAGCCCGGGCAGCCGACCCGGCUGCGCCGUAGUGGGAGGCCACGGCGAUUACCCAGGUGAAGGUCUUCCAGCCCAGCCCUGGAAGGUGGAAAAAGAAAAGUUGACAUGGAAUGUUUAGGAAGCACCAUUGGUCCAGGUCCAGGAUCGGGGCAGCCAGCAUGUCCUCUAAUCUGGCUUCACUGUUGAAAUCCAGUCGAGCAAGCAGGGCCCAAACCACU